AUCUGUCCUUUAUUAAAAAAUGCAAAUCAAAAAAACAUAAGCAAAUCUAUAAAAUAACCUUACUAGUUUUAUACAAAUAAUUACAGUAAUGUCCCAGAAAAUUUUCACAGAUUCAUUAAGAAUCUACAUGUUGUGAUAAAAGGAUAACUAUAUUAAUUUUGUGAUUCAUUAUUUUAUAAUAUUCCUUAAUUACUUUAGCUUCAACAGCAAUAGCUUCAUGACGUUCACAUAAUAAACUAACAAUACAAUUUGCUGUUUGUGGUGGAGUAUAAUUUUCAUCAUUAAAAUUUGAUGGAAAAUUAGGAUUUAAUAGGUCCUUCCUGUUAGCCAACAAAGCAUUGCUAUAUAUAAGAUCGCAACACACUAGGAGAAGAUGGUGUACAAGGCAUUGCUUUGUGUCUCCUUGAUCUUGGUGGCCGUGAAAUAUCAUCUACAGGAUCUUUAAAUAUGUCAGUAAAUAUUGGCUGAUACUUUUUGAAUAUAACCAUUGACACUGCAAAGUUUCCUUCAAGUUUCUCAAUCUUUGAACGAAAAUCUUGCGACAUAUUGGCCAUGUCAGCCCAAGAU